rnacentral:rRNA from 1 species
UACGAAGGGUGCGAGCGUUAUUCGGAAUCACUGGGCGUAAAGGGUGCGUAGACGGUAUGUUAAGUUCGUUGUCAAAGCCUCCGGCCUAACCGGAGUAUUGCGAUGAAAACUGGCAAGCUAGAGGGUGAGAGAGAGAAGUGGAAUUCCCGGAGUAGCGGUAAAAUGCGUGGAUCUCGGGAGGAACACCAAUGGCGAAGGCAGCUUCUUGGCUCAUUCCUGACGUUGAGGCACGAAAGCUGGGGGAGCAAACGGG